GGGGGCGGGGAGGGGGGCAGCAGAGGCUCCCCUUUCAUCUGGGCUUGGUUCCGGAGAAGGCCAAAAGAGGAAUUUACCCAGGAAGCAAUCUGAAGGCAAAAGUCCCAUCUAAAGUGAAGGACUUUCUCCCCUACUGUGUUGACAUUGCCUUCACUGCCACCAGUGUUGAUCAAAGGCCAGAUCUCCUGUCAAGAGACAUCGGACUGAGUGGAAGAUCUCCUUGAUACCCUUCUAAUAAAGGGUACAAAUUCUUCCCAGAGAUCCUGGACAGCAAAAACUGUUCCUUUAUGGAAUGUCACCACCUGGCACAGCCAUCUCUCACUUAAGCCAAAGAAAAUUCAAACACACCCCAAAACAGCUAGUACACUGUGGAAAGGGAAACUCUAAUGGCUUCCUGUUGUAGUUUAAAUGUAAAAUGUUCCCCCACAGCCUCAUGUAUUUAAAUUGGUGAUGCCAUUUGGGAAAGCACUGUGAUCUUUAGGGUUUGCACCUUGAUGGAAGAAGUGCGUCACUGGGGGCGGGCCUUGAGAAGCCCAGCCCGACUUCCUGUUUACUCUACAUGAUUUGUGACUAUGAAUGUAAUGUGCCAGCUGUCCUCUGGCUCCAGCUGCCACAUCCCCUCUGCUGUGAUGGAGCAUAGGCCCUUGAACUGAAUAAACAACCAAGUCCCAACUCACCAAAAUCCCUAAGCAGUAAGGACUCGCCCUAUAAUAAUUUCACUAAUAAAUGUCCAUGAAAAAUGGUUAAAACCUUCGGGGAUAUCCAAUCUUUUGACAUCAUGAAAUGGUAAUGUCAUCUACAAAUGGUCUGGGUAGGAUCUGAAGCUACAGGAGAGCAGAAGAUACCUGAGAUUCACAAUUGCAUGUUGGUACAAACCUGCCAAAUGACAGGUCUCCAACUUGAGAUGGUUUGGCUUACAUUUUUCAAUUUUAUUGUGGUACAAGAUUGAUGAGCAUCCUGUAAGAACUAUUCUUCAAAUCUUUCAUCUGGAUCCUUUCUGAGACUAGUCUUUUUAUACAGCGAGCCACAUUCUACCGUGGACUACUUGUAAGUUGUGAUGCUCUGUCAAUCAUAUUGUUACAUGCUUUUUGACACAAUGGCAGUUUUAAUUUAUGGAUGUUCAUGAGGAUGUAAUUCAGUUCUAAGUCAAAAAGCAGUUUACUUCUUUGACAAUAUUGUUAAUUAAACAGGGAAUAUGCACUGCAGCUGCCUGCUUUCCUUCCUUUUUCCCCCUCUCCUUCCUUCCUUUUCCUCCUUUUAUCUUAAAUAUCUCCUAUAUCUUGAAGAGAAAAACAUACUCUCAAUAAAAAACUACCAUCUCCCAUA